rnacentral:lncRNA from 10 species
CUGCAGGCCAGGUGUGGACGACCCUCACAACUCUCCCAUCUGCGUGGACAUCGCUGGACGGGGUGAAGACGUCCUGUGCCUGUUAGCAACCGCUCCCCGCCACGGUUUGAGUGAGGCCACAACAGAACAUCAGACAGCAGUUUAUCAACAGAGACUUCCUGCCUCCCCGUCUGGAGGCCAAGGUUGGGUUCUCCUCUUCCACGAUGGCCCUUGCACGUCGCAUCCUCACCGGCUGGAGGGUGGGUCUGCCCCACAAGCCCUUUUCAUGGUGGCUUUAGUCACAAGGGCUCUGCCUCGUGAGUGGAUCAAACACCUCCCAUCAGUCCCCACCUCCCGGCACUCCACGGGGUCUAAGUUUCAGCCUGAGCUUUAGAGGACGGAAACGUUCCAACCACGGCACUGCACGCCAGGCCCAGUACUCACCGCUCUCACAUACAAAAUCAUAUGAGUCAGCAUUCUCUAGAGGGACAGGACUCAUAGGAUACAUGAACAGGGGAUGAUCUUGGACUCCCUGCCCACCUUCCAGACACAUGGGGGCAGGGCUGGGCCCCCACGGCUUCUGUGGGCUCAGCCCACUCAGUGCUCAUGGGUCGGAGUCUCCUGCCUGCCGCUCUCCCAGGCUGUGCUUGCUCGCUGGUGGCCCUGCAGUCCUGGGGUCUCGGAGGCAGCCCCCACCUCAGCUCCGGUGGGCAUAGCCUCGGUGGGGACUCCGAGGCAGCUCCAACCCCACGAUGAGCCUCUGCCUGGGCCCCAAGGCUGUCAGCAACAUGCUUUGAAAUCUGGGUGCAGGCCACCAUCGCCUGCAGUGUCAGCGCCCCGUGGAUGCCGUCAAGGCCCCCCGCAUGUGCCUUUGGGAGCGAUGGUUGGAGCUGCGCCUGCACCUGCCUGAGCCAUGGCUGGGGCGGCCAAGGAGGGCUGGGCCAGGAUCGGGGGAGACCCAGGCAGGCAGUGAGCUCUGCGGUCCCAAAGGUGCCCCAGGGUCUCAUCCCUUGCCAUGAUUCUGUCCUCAGGGCCCUUAUAAAAGGGCUAGAAGGAACUAGCUUGGCUGUUUUUCCUCCGAAUUCUGCCAUGUGAGGCUGGAUACGCCAUUGGAGCUGCCCUCAGCAGACCCCAGCCUGCCGGCACCUGGAUCUUGGACUCCCCAGCUUGAGAACUACAGGAAAUAAAUUUCUGUUGCUUAUAAAUUACUCAGUCUGAGGUGUUUUGUUACAGCAGCGGGGAUGGACUAAGACCCUUCCCAUUUUCCCCCAGCUGUGCCCUCGCCCCCAGCCCCGGGCAGCUGGGAGUCUACUCUGUGUCACCGUGGACCUGCCCAUUCCAGACAUUUGACAUAAAUGGUCUCAUGUGAUAUGUGGCCGUCUGCGUCUGACCUCCUUCACUUGGCAAAUGUUUGCGAGGUUCAUCCACUUUGGAGCAUGGGCCAGAGCUUCAUUCCUUUUUACGGGUGAAGAAUAGUGUGGGGCCAGGCCACAAUGUGCCCAUCUGUCCCUCAGCAGAUGGACAUGUAGGCUGUGCCCACCUUUGGGCUAUUGUGAAUAAUGCUACCAGGAACAUUUGUGGAUAAGCUUUUGUGUGGAUAAGCUUUUGUUUCUGAUUCUCGGGGACGUGUACCCAGGAGUGGGAUUGCUGGGUCACAUGGAAUUCGGCUUCACACUUUGAAGAACAGAACAGCCGCAUGUGAGGUUCCCACGUCUCCGCCCUGACACCUAUGAUGCUUUCGGUUCCAGCCAUCCCAGUGGGUGUGAGGUGUGGUCUCGUGUGGUUUUUAUUUGCAUUUCCCUGGUGGCUAAUGGUGUUAAGCAGCUUGUCAUGAGCUUGUUGGCUGGUCGCAUAUAUUAUUUGGAAAAAACAUCUAUUCAAAUUCUUUUGCCUUUUUUUUUUGAGUUAGAGUCUCUCUCUGUCACCCAGGCUGGAGUGCAGUGGCGCGAUCUCAGCUCACUGCAACCUCUGCCUCCCAGGUUCAAGCAAUUCUCUUGCCUCUGCCUCCUGAGUAGCUGGGAUUACAGGCGUGCACCACCACGUGGUGGCUAAUUGUUGUAUUUUUAGUAGAGAUGUGGUUUCACCACGUUGGCCAGGCUGGUCUCAAACUCCUGACCUCAAAUGGUCCCCCCAGCUUGGCCUCCCAAAGUGCUGGGAUUACAGGCGUGAGCCACUGCGCCCGGCCUCUCCCAGUUUGCCCAUUUUUUAACUAGGUUGUUUAUCUUUGUAUUGCUGAGCUGUGAGAGUUCUUUAGCACACUGGUUUUUCACUACCUUACCCUGGAGCCGAUACACAUCCUUUCUGCUCAGUCAUUAGCCAGAAAUGCAGAGAAAUGCUACUGUGUGACCCCAUGACCUCAGCCUGAUGUGCAGGGGUCCCCAGAAUAUUAGACGGGCACUGACUGUCUGCAGGAUACAGACCCGGGAGGGUGGCUUUGCACUGCUGAUCUGAACACAGCCUCUCACUGAUUCAAAACGUCCUUUUGGCGUGUCUGUAAUGCCUGCGUGUUCACCGUUCGCAUUGUUACUGUGAGCGACCCACGCACCAGCUCCACACGGGGCUCCCUAGGUGCAGCCUCCGGUGUGUGUUAAAACCUGGUGGCCACGGUUCCCUUGUUCAUCUUUUGUUCCAGAAUUUCCUUAGUUUUCUUACUUAUUUUUCCACGUUAACUUCACAAUCAAUCUACCUGAUUCCAGGGUUCUCCGGUGUUUUAAUUGGCCCCGCUGUGGCAGCCGGCCAGCACGAGGGACGGCACCUCGUGACGCCCAGGACAGACCGGGCUUGUUGCUGGUCUGUGGUCCUCAGUCAGGCCUCAGACCCUCUAUAACAGGUAUAGAUGUGCCCGCCGUUUGCUCCUAGAAAUUUACAAUUUUUGUUGCUGUUGGGAAUGGUCCCUUUUCUUUCUUCAUUGUCUCUCCUAACUGGAAGUGCUUGAAUUUGAAAGAUGCUGAUUCCUGACUCUGAAUUUUGUGCACAGCCACCCUCCGAAACUCACCUCUGCCUUCUAAUCAGUUUUCCGGGUCUAUGAGGAGUCGCAGCAGGCUGUGCUCGGGUG